rnacentral:rRNA from 1 species
AUUGAACGCUGGCGGCAGGCUUAACACAUGCAAGUCGAACGAGCGGCGGACGGGUGAGUAAGAUCUGGGAAACUGCCUGAUGGUGGGGGAUAACCACGGGAAACGGUAGCUAAUACCGCAUACUAUCAGAUGUGCCCAGAUGGGAUUAGCUAGUAGGUGGGGUAAUGGCUCACCUAGGCGACGAUCACUAGCGGGUCUGAGAGGAUGACCGUCAACACUGUAACUGAGACACGGCCCAGACUCCUACGGGAGGCAGCAGUGGGGAAUAUUGCACAAUGGGCGCAAGCCUGAUGCAGCCAUGCCGCGUGUGUGAAGAAGGCCUUCGGGUUGUAAAGCACUUUCAGCUAGGAGGCGGUACUCGCAGAAGAAGCACCGGCUAACUCCGUGCCAGCAGCCGCGGUAAUUC